rnacentral:rRNA from 1 species
UGGGGAAUAUUGCGCAAUGGGCGAAAGCCUGACGCAGCGACGCCGCGUGAGGGACGAAGGCCUUCGGGUCGUAAACCUCUUUCAGCAGGGACGAAGCGCAAGUGACGGUACCUGCAGAAGAAGCACCGGCUAACUACGUGCCAGCAGCCGCGGUAAUACGUAGGGUGCAAGCGUUGUCCGGAAUUAUUGGGCGUAAAGAGCUCGUAGGCGGCUUGUCACGUCUGCUGUGAAAACUUGGGGCUCAACUCCAAGCCUGCAGUGGAUACGGGCUAGCUAGAGUGCGGUAGGGGAGACUGGAAUUCCUGGUGUAGCGGUGAAAUGCGCAGAUAUCAGGAGGAACACCGGUGGCGAAGGCGGGUCUCUGGACCGAUACUGACGCUGAGGAGCGAAAGCGUGGGGAGCGAACAGG